UACGUAGGGGGCAAGCGUUGUCCGGAUUUAUUGGGCGUAAAGAGCGUGUAGGCGGCCAGACAGGUCCGUUGUGAAAACUCGAGGCUCAACCUCGAGACGCCGAUGGAAACCAUCAGACUAGAGUCCGGAAGAGGAGAGUGGAAUUCCUGGUGUAGCGGUGAAAUGCGCAGAUAUCAGGAAGAACACCCGUGGCUAAGGCGGCUCUCUAGUACGGUACUGACGCUGAGACGCGAAAGCGUGGGGAGCGAACAGG
rnacentral:rRNA from 1 species